CAGGCUUAACACAUGCAAGUCGAGGGGCAGCAUCAUUAAAGCUUGCUUUGAUGGAUGGCGACCGGCGCACGGGUGAGUAACACGUAUCCAACCUGCCGACAACACUGGGAUAGCCUUUCGAAAGAAAGAUUAAUACCGGAUGGCAUAGUUUUCCCGCAUGGGAUAAUUAUUAAAGAAUUUCGGUUGUCGAUGGGGAUGCGUUCCAUUAGGCAGUUGGCGGGGUAACGGCCCACCAAACCAACGAUGGAUAGGGGUUCUGAGAGGAAGGUCCCCCACAUUGGAACUGAGACACGGUCCAAACUCCUACGGGAGGCAGCAGUGAGGAAUAUUGGUCAAUGGACGAGAGUCUGAACCAGCCAAGUAGCGUGAAGGAUGACUGCCCUAUGGGUUGUAAACUUCUUUUAUACGGGAAUAAAGUGAGCCACGUGUGGCUUUUUGUAUGUACCGUAUGAAUAAGGAUCGGCUAGCUCCGUGCCAGCAGCCGCGGUAAUACGGAGGAUCCGAGCGUUAUCCGGAUUUAUUGGGUUUAAAGGGAGCGUAGGCGGGUUGUUAAGUUAGUUGUGAAAGUUUGCGGCUCAACCGUAAAAUUGCAGUUGAUACUGGCGACCUUGAGUGCAACAGAGGUAGGCGGAAUUCGUGGUGUAGCGGUGAAAUGCUUAGAUAUCACGAAGAACUCCGAUUGCGAAGGCAGCCUGCUAAGCUGCAACUGACAUUGAGGCUCGAAAGUGUGGGUAUCAAACAGGAUUAGAUACCCUGGUAGUCCACACGGUAAACGAUGAAUACUCGCUGUUUGCGAUAUACUGCAAGCGGCCAAGCGAAAGCGUUAAGUAUUCCACCUGGGGAGUACGCCGGCAGCGGUGAAACUCAAAGGAAUUGACGGGGGCCCGCACAAGCGGAGGAACAUGUGGUUUAAUUCGAUGAUACGCGAGGAACCUUACCCGGGCUUAAAUUGCAGAUGAAUUACGGUGAAAGCCGUAAACCGCAAGGCAUCUGUGAAGGUGCUGCAUGGUUGUCGUCAGCUCGUGCCGUGAGGUGUCGGCUUAAGUGCCAUAACGAGCGCAACCCUUGUUGUCAGUUACUAACAGGUUCCGCUGAGGACUCUGACAAGACUGCCAUCGUAAGAUGUGAGGAAGGUGGGGAUGACGUCAAAUCAGCACGGCCCUUACGUCCGGGGCUACACACGUGUUACAAUGGGGGGUACAGGGGGCCGCUACCACGCGAGUGGAUGCCAAUCCCCAAAACCUCUCUCAGUUCGGACUGGAGUCUGCAACCCGACUCCACGAAGCUGGAUUCGCUAGUAAUCGCGCAUCAGCCACGGCGCGGUGAAUACGUUCCCGGGCCUUGUACACACCGCCCGUCAAGCCAUGGGAGCCGGGGGUACCUGAAGUGCGUAACCGCGAGGAGCGCCCUAGGGUAAAACUGGUGACUGGGGCUAAGUCAUAAC
rnacentral:rRNA from 1 species